rnacentral:rRNA from 1 species
AUUGAACGCUGGCGGCAGGCCUAACACAUGCAAGUCGAGCGGAGCGAGUGACGGGUGGUUAAGGCCUAGGAAUGUGCCUGGUAGUGGGGGAUAACGUCCGGCAACGGGCGCUAAUACCGCAUACUAGCAGUUGGGCCUAGGUCGGAUUUGCUAGUUGUUGGGUUAAAGGACUACCAAGGCGACGAUCCGUAACUGGUCUGAGAGGAUGAUCAGUCACACUGGAACUGAGACACGGUCCAGACUCCUACGGGAGGCAGCAGUGGGGAAUAUUGGACAAUGGGCGAAAGCCUGAUCCAGCCAUGCCGCGUGUGUGAAGAAGGUCUUCGGAUUGUAAAGCACUUUAAGUUGGGAGGCGUUACCAACAGAAUAAGCACCGGCUAACUUCGUGCCAGCAGCCGCGGUAAUUC